UACGUAGGGUGCGAGCGUUUGUCCGGAAUUACUGGGCGUAAAGAGCUCGUAGGUGGUUUGUCGCGUUGUCCGUGAAAACUCACAACUCAAUUGUGGGCGUGCGGGCGAUACGGGCAGACUGGAGUACUGCAGGGGAGACUGGAAUUCCUGGUGUAGCGGUGAAAUGCGCAGAUAUCAGGAAGAACACCCGUGGCGAAGGCGGCUCUCUGGGACGGUACUGACGCUGAGACGCGAAAGCGUGGGGAGCGAACAGG
rnacentral:rRNA from 1 species